GAUUAAGUUAUUAAGGGCGCACGGUGGAUGCCUUGGCACUAGAAGCCGAUGACGGACGUUACUAACGACGAUAUGCUUUGGGUAGCUGUAAGUAAGCGUUGAUCCAGAGAUUUCCGAAUGGGGGAACCCAGCAUGAGUUAUGUCAUGUUAUCGACAUGUGAAUU
rnacentral:rRNA from 1 species